CUAAAAGUACUGAUGAAGACGGCUAUAAGAAGGAGUCCCAGAGAGUCGGUGGCCGCUGUGAACCGAUGCCUUUCUUAUUAAAGCCCAGCACUUCUGAACUGGUCUGCCGAACAACUAUAAAGUAGGCGGACACGGUGAAAACCGUUAUCUUUCUUGAGAUGUUGCCUUUUAACUGGCAACGAAUGAGGGUGGCACCGCGUUUAUUCCACGCCCCUCAU
rnacentral:ncRNA from 1 species